rnacentral:rRNA from 1 species
UAGGGAAUAUUGCACAAUGGGGGAAACCCUGAUGCAGCGACGCCGCGUGAAGGAAGAAGUAUCUCGGUAUGUAAACUUCUAUCAGCAGGGAAGACAAUGACGGUACCUGACUAAGAAGCCCCGGCUAACUACGUGCCAGCAGCCGCGGUAAUACGUAGGGGGCAAGCGUUAUCCGGAUUUACUGGGUGUAAAGGGAGCGUAGACGGACGGGCAAGUCUGAAGUGAAAGGCAGGGGCUCAACCCCUGGACUGCUUUGGAAACUGUCCAUCUAGAGUGCCGGAGAGGUAAGCGGAAUUCCUAGUGUAGCGGUGAAAUGCGUAGAUAUUAGGAGGAACACCAGUGGCGAAGGCGGCUUACUGGACGGUAACUGACGUUGAGGCUCGAAAGCGUGGGGAGCAAACAGGAUUAGAUACCC